GGCGAGAUGGCCGAGCGGUCUGAGGCGCCAGACCAGGGUGAUCCGAUCACUUACAUAAUCUGGUCUUUUCGGAGGCGUGGGUUCAAAUCCUACUUUCGUCA